rnacentral:tRNA from 1 species
GCGGAUGUGGCGGAAUGGCAGACGCACUAUCUUGAGGGGGUAGCGAGGAAUCCUCGUACGGGUUCAAGUCCCGUCAUCCGCACCA